GUCAUCGGAAAUAGCACGUUGAAUGCACCAGUUGCCGAAGGAUCACUGAAGUUAAGGAACGUUGCGCGUGGUUGGUAACCCGAUAGGUAACCAUCUGGACAAUCGCGUGCUGGCU
rnacentral:rRNA from 1 species